rnacentral:lncRNA from 1 species
CUUAGACAUGACAUUCCUUGGCCUCCCUUUCAGCAAGAUGAGAAAACUGAGGCACAGAGAGGUGAAAUAAGGCCCCCAGAAUGCUCUUCUCCAAGACUUAGAAAAAUCAAAUGCUAUCCAUCCCUCAAGAUACAUCCCUCCAGCCCCUCCUUGAAGUCUCCUGCAGCUAGAAGUAGAAGUAGCAUCUAUCCCCAUCUGGACUCCUUAGCACUUUGCUGUACCUGCCUUAGUCCCCAUCUCUUUACACACACACACACACACACACACACACACACAGAGUAUUAUAAUACUAUUACCUAUUAUAUUACAUUAUAUUAUUGUAGUUCUACAGGAACUACAAGGAAUUCUACUGUGAAUUCCUUAAGGGUGGGAUACAUUUUACAAUCAUCACUGUUUCUCUCAUUAGUUGUGGAAUCAAAAAAAUGAGUGCACGAUGAAAAAUUAUUCAAACACAUACAUGCUUUCAUUCCAAUUGAAAAUGUAAAAAUAUUACUGUUAAAACAAUAUUAAAGGACAUGUAAUACAAUUCAAAUAUUCCUACCAUGCACGAUUGUUUUCACUUCUUUGUGCCUCUUUCACCAUUUAUUUGUGUGCAUACUCAGCAUAUUUGUUUGUGUAACAGGAUGUUAAAAAUAGAAUUUGUUGCCUGUAGUUUUUGCUAAAGCUCUACUAGACUGGAACAGAACAAUAGGUGGUAAAUACUCCAUUCCUCAGUGAGAUGCUACCUACCUAUGCAGAGCUGGAAAAGAUUUUGCAACCUGAAAACCCAAUCCUUUCUGAGAUAUAAAAGAACAGAAGAGUCUGGAAGUGAUUUCUUCGGAGAAAUUCAUUUUCUGUGAGUCUCACUCCUAAUCCCCUAUGAGAUAUCUGGGGGUGAAGGGCAGGUGCUGUUCCACACAGAGAGCUUGAUCCGUGCAUCUUGGAAGAGGGAGGUAGGUAGGGAACAGGGUGGGCUGCUUUGGGACCCAUGCCUUAAAACUCAGGUACUGGGGCUGGCUGGUUCUAAUGGCCAAGAGGUGAGAGGUGCACCUGUGGGGAACAACCUUCACUCUCAGUUUGUCAGGAUAGAGGAUAUGAGUCUUGCCCUGAGGAUGGGAUGUAGACUACAAGGGCAAGAGAGUCAGCUUAAAGAAAUCUGUAGAACUAUCUGCCAGGACUGAGGUGACCAUAGCAGAGAGAUGUUGGAGGUAUUCUGUUGGGAACAAGAUGGUGUGAGGUAAAGAUUGUAUUUGAUACCUGCUGGAGAAGAGAUCUUGCAUUAAGGCCAGCAUUAAGAGAACUUCAGAUGAGAAAUCCCUGGUGAAGCAGAGUCUCCAAAGAAUGCAUAAGAGCUCUGCAGUGAGAAAGAGAUCACCUGAAUACCUUCCAAAAUCAAAGCGUGGCAGUGACCAGCUAAGCAGAUCUUUCCUGUCUUCUACCUGGAAGGGCCUGAAACUGCAAUUCAUGAGUUUGGGGAAGGCAGAGAGGCACAAAGUGGGGAAAUGGAAAAGUUGACUAUGUCCGCUUUCCUACUGCAGUAUUCCAGAGAAGAAACUUCAAGCUCAGAAUAUUGGCUACUACCUGUGAUAAACAUUUAAAUUAUUGGAACGAGAGAGUUUUUAUAACUAAAUUUGAAAGAAGCAAUUUUUUUUAUCAAAGACCAACCCGAAGAUUCAUGACCACUACCUGUGAUUUCAUCCAUGUUGCAAGGAAAAUCCUGCCCCACUUCCCCAAUAGGAAGAGUGGUGGGGGAAUAAUAAAGUUGUUUUAUGAUGCAUCCUGUGGACUUCUACUCGACAGAAUGGUAACAUUCAACUGUAAUCAGGAUGAGCAAGCCACUUUAUUAAACUAAAAUUUUAAACUUUAAUAAAUAUAAUACAAACUGAAAAAUAAAAAUAAUUUUUCAACUCUACACAAGUAUGUUAACUGCAUAAACAGUGAGAUGUUACACAGGGCUGAGGCCUAUACUUCUUCAGUUUGUACAUUAAACGUCUCCAUGGAGGGUCAAUUGCAUCCUACCUAUUCUGACAGUUAUCAGGUAGCGAGAGAUUUGAGGAAGAGGCGCUUUUCUAAUCUGGGGUAGGAAAAGGAAUGAUACCAUGUAUCAUGAGAAGUAUUUGCACAUAGUGUGUCAAUUAAGCAAGUGCUCAGACUAUUAACAACAUUACUAUGUGAUGAAUGUUUAUACAGUGGAUUCAAAAAUAAGCUUCUUUCCAGAAAGCAGCUUAGUUUUCAUUAAUUAUUACCAGCAUCUUGGUAAUUAUUUAUUUAAUGGUUUAAAAGUUAAAGUUUCAAUCUAUAUUUGUUUUUUUAACAUCAGCCAAGGAAAUACAUGUCUGUUAUACUGCAUCUUUGGAAGUAUGCAAUAAGUGUAACUAUUGAAUCUAUAUUGAAGAGCCACAAGACACUGAAUUUAAUUGGACGAGACUAUUUUAUUUAGGAAGACAAUCAUCUCCUGUGAUCAGCUUAAGGUUUUUGUUUUGUUUUAUCUGGAACAAGCUAAGUUCAUAUUUAGAAAAUAAAGUUAGUUUUUUGGGUGCAUGAGUUUUAGAGUAAAUUAGUAAUUUAGUAAACUUUGACAUUUCCACUUUGUCUCCAAACACAUUUAAAUUCUAUCUGUCUGACUGAAGUUCUAAGGCAUUCUGUGGUUACUUAGAAAUGAUUCCUUAUAUUAAUGUUUACAAAUGCUAAAUUGUAUUUGUUAAAUACAUGUCUUAUUGCCUAAGAGUUUUCCUUUCUUAUAAGUUUAAUAUAAAUGUCUAGGAAAUAAGACUCCCAUUUAAUAGCUUAUAAAGAAUGCUGAUGUAUCAGCAGUGGCCUUGACAUUAUUGGAUACAAGUAAGAUCUACACUGAUGAUUAAAUCAAAUUGGCUAAGAUUAUUCGUUCUAAUAAAAGCACUGACUCCAUGAA